rnacentral:lncRNA from 1 species
UUACCUGGCUAUAUGUGUUGACCCAGUUCUGAUUUGAGGUGGCUAACAAUUCGAGCUGACCCAUGCCACUAGGUUAGUCAUAAUUAUUAUGACUAUGUCAAGUCAAGUUUAAUGAGACCUAAAUCAAAUCUCCCUAAGAAAAUAUUAAGUCUAGGUCUUCCACCAUUGUGGAUGUGCGGGCCCUUCCCAGGGUUGAUUGUUCUCAGCUGGUUAUAGUGGCUCAGUUGCACC